GAAAGAAAAAAGCUCCACUGGAGCUUAUUUCUAUAUAUAUAAUUGCAAAUUUGCAAUACAGCUGCCAAGAGCCACAUUUUCUAACCUUAAACAAACUAUUUGUAGCGAGAAAGAGAGAAAGGGAGAGAGAUUGAAGAAUUGCAAGAUAUUGCAGAAGCUCAUUAUCAAGCAGGCUGUCCAAAAGUUCAGGAUUUAGCAGGUGAAUUCUUCAAAUCAAUGGGCAGUAAUCGAGAUGCCCAAUCAACUCUUGAAGAGGUCAGUUUUCUGCAUUGUUAUGUUUUUAUAAACUUAGGAUUUUUUUUCUAGACCAGGACGACUUGAAAAAUUUUCAUAUUAUAUUUUCAGAAAAAAUAGAAUGCAGCAUUUAAAGCAUUUGAGGUAGCCCUCUCCAUUUGCGACACUUUGAUUGUUCAUGCAAAUAGAUCUAUGAUUUUCAGCGUGUUAAUUUUGGCAACUUAUUGCUAGGCAAAGUUGUGUUUGACACUAAACAAAUUGCUAAUACAAUAAUUUGAGAUUUGUGCACACAAACUAUCGUACAAUAUUUUCUUUAGCUUAUGUUGAGGAAAUCUAAAUCUAAAACUUGUCAAGUAAUUUAACAAAGAACUUGCCGAUUGGACAUGAGGAAUAGAGUAAAGUUUUCCUAAUAUUUUAUUUUGUUGCAGCCACUGGCAGGAUCAAUACAUACUAAAGUCAGUUUUCUCAAUUGUCAAGUUUUUAUAUACUUCAAAUAAAUCUUGCUAGACACGGACGACUUGGAAAUCUUUUAUAUUAUAUUUUUAGUAAAAUGGAAUGUAGCGUUCAAAGCAUUUCAGGUAUCCCAGGCCAUUCUCGACGCUUUGAUUGUUCAUGCAAACAUAUCUUUGAUUUCCAGUGCGUUAAUUUUGGUAAUUUAUUGCUAGACAAAGUUGUAUUUGACACUAAAUAAAUUGCUAAUAUAAAAAUUUUAGAUUUGUACACACUAACUAUCAUACAACAUUUUCUUUAGCUCAUACUGAGGAAAUCUAAAUCUGAAACUUGUCACGUAACUUACAAAGAACUUACCAAUUUGACAUGAAGAAUAAAGUAAAGUUUUUCUUUUUUUCACCUGGUAGCCACCGAAAGGAACAAUUCAUACUCUGGUCAGCUUUAUGCAUUGCUAAGUUUUCAUAUAAUUAUAAAAAUGUGGCUAUACUGGGACGACUUGGAAAUAUUUCAUAUUAUACUUUCAGUAAGAUUGGAAUGAAGCAUUUAAAGCAUUUGAGGAAGCUCUAGUCAUUCUUGACACUUUGAUUGUUCAUGCAAACAUAUCUUUGAUUUUCAACUUGUUAAUUUUGGCAAUGUACUGCUAGACAAAGUUGUGUUUGACACUAAAGAAAUUGCUAAUAAAAAAAAUUUAGAUUUGUCCACACAAACUAUUGUACAACAAUAUCUUUACGUUAGAUUGAGGAAAUCUAAAUCAAAGACUGGUCACGUAAUUUAAAAAAAGAAUUCACCAAUUUGACAUAAAGAAUAAAGUAAAGUUUUCUUGAUAAUUUUUUUUUCUGUUAGCCAUUGACUACAACAAUUUGUAAUAGGGUCAAUUUUCUGCAUUGUUAAGUUUUUUUUAAAUAUUUUAAAAAAAAUCUUGCUAAACUAGGACGACUUGAAAAAUUUUUCUAUUAUAUUUUCAAUAAAAAUAGAAUGUAGCAUUUAAAGCAUUUGAGGUAUUCCCGGCCAUUCUCGACAGGUUGAUUGUUCAUGCAAACAUAUCUUUGAUUUCCAGCGUGUUAAUUUUCGCAAUUUAUUGCUAGACAAAGUUGUGUUUGACACCAAAUAAAUUCCUCAUACAAAAAUUUUAGAUUUGUACACAAACUAUCGUACAACAUUUUCUUCAGCUUAUACUGAGGAAAUCUAAAUCAAAGGCUUG
rnacentral:lncRNA from 1 species